GGUUGGCGUGGAGUGGUACCAUG
rnacentral:miRNA from 1 species